UUCAGAGCCAACUGGUGUCCAUAUCCCUUUACUCCUGAAUGAUGUGAUUUAUGGAACCUUUGCUCUAGCGCCAUCUUGUGAUCAUUUUUUUUCCUGCAGUUUAUGGAGUGAAUUGAGGCGCGGCACAGUCCGGAACUGAUCAGUGCAAGGGAGCCGAUAUCCCGGUGGUGGAUUUCAAGUUUUAGGAGGGGCACGGGUAACCGCCAAAGCCACCGGGGAGAAUGAAAAAAUUGCCAAGGAGGAAAAAGACCAAAGGAAAAUGCCAGUAAGAAGCAGAAGAAAAGAGAUAAAGCAGAAGGGAUGGAAUUGAGAUCAUAAUACAGAAGAAGACAAGACAUUUCCCGGGACACUCUCAUGCUUUUCAGUGCAGAGAAAAUCGGGACUUCGGGUUGCAGUUUGAAAGAGGGACUGUCCUG